CCGCUGUAGCCAUACCAGAUAGGACAAUGUCUGCUAAGCAGAAUUUCAACUGACCCAAGAGCCCAACGGAGCACUUGAUUAAGACGAUCGGAAAGAUUGAUUGGUGCAGAACCCUUGAAACAAGGCCGUGGUGGCAUGCAGUAGAUUGACUGCCAGCCUCUUGCGUGCAUCUUAAACCCAGUAAGAAUAUCCUCCGUAACUGAACCGUAAAUCCAGCCAAUCUGAAACAACAUAAAACGGAAAAUCAUAUUCUGAGUCCUGGAAUGGGAAAAGUAAUUCUAUGCCAAGAUACAAAGUUAAAUAACUCUAUAACACGAAAGAAAGAGGGAAACUUUGCUUGCCACACUAACCUCUUUGCCCCAUUCAGUUUUGUCCUCGUACCCACAGCUGAUGACAUGGAUAGCUUCCUUUAGUAGAGAAGCUGGGUUUGUUGAAGGUGGUAUGCCACCUUGAGUCAUAAAGGUGGAUGCAAUGAAAAUUGGAGACUGGCCAAAGCGUUUCUCCAAUUUCCUCUGGGACAUAAGCA
rnacentral:lncRNA from 1 species